GAUUGCUCUCUUGGAGUCUUCUCAGUGAGUCCAGGAUAAGGAGUGGCUAAAAAUACAUUCUCUCUUUUGCCUCGCUGUCUCUAAACAACUUCACCUGUAGAUGAUAACCAUCAUAUAUACAGGGCAAGUCCUGAUGAAAUGAUAUGCCACUAUGAUUUUACUAAUUGUUAUCACUUCAACAACAAAACUAUAUCAUCUUGGUCGUCCCGAAGCUGAAAGCUCUUACAUCCUGACUCAGCUGGGCCUGGUCAAAAUAAGUAUUACCCACCAGUACUCAUGUGAGAGAGCCAGAGGAGUUGUAUGACUACCACUGUUUUCUCAUUUAUGUUAUUGGUGCAUUUCUGAUCUGGAGAUGGGCCAAAGGCGAACUGGAUAAAGCUCUGAGUGAAUUCUUCCCUUUGGUUGUCAGCGUAUGUGAUCUUUGGCAUGGCUACUGAUCCUCUGGACGAGCUGUGAUAACUCUACAUCCUUGCUGGAGAAUGAUGGAAGUCUUCAAGCAGAAGCUGUAACACAUUUACCAAAUGAUGCACUGAAAAGUUAUACUGACUGGGUGAGGAGAGAAUUGUUGGUAGCCAGGUUUCUCUGACUCCAGAACCAAUUAAAUCUUUCCAAUAUGUCCCUCUGUAAUCUUUUUCUACUAGAUACCUUAUAUUAGAGUACAUAUAAUAUACGACUGGAAGAUAAUAGCUUUUCCCAUUUCUUGAAGCUGAAGCAAAAUAGCAGGUGCAGUAAGAUGGACUUUUCUUCUUUCUGCUGGUUGUUUGGGAUGUUUUCUUCCUUUUGUGGCUGACAGCGUACUUCCACAGGAUCAGCAGAGUUUGCGUGCAGCAUUGAUAGCUAAUGCUGAUUCAUGAGAAAGUCAGGUGCUAAUUUUGGAGAAGAAAAGUGAGGCGUUCCCAAGAUACAUACCAGAGCGGAGAAUGAAUGUGCACAGAAAGAAAUUAAAUUUUGAAUUAAAUUGAAAUCCAAGCUUUUGCUUAUUUUCAGAUUCCACCAAUGUCACCACCAUUCAUUCUAAGGACUUCAUAAUUGACACUGCAACUGAAUUUAUACCCUACCUCAUUGGAGUGCUGUUUUCUUCUUCUGAUGCAGUGCAAUCUGAUAAUUUAAAAUCAUACUUCUGUUUUUCCAUUCCUUCUCCCGAGUCAGCAGCUUAACAUCUUGGAUACUGAAAUGCUUAAAUCCUAUUUUUGGCUCAGCAAAUGUUUUAAAGCAUGGCAACAAAAAAGUGGAGCCAACCAAAAGUUUGAAUUCUGUGUUUCGAUUUCAUAAUUUUAAUAUAGAUUAAAAAGGCUAGUCAUUUUCUGAAUAGCUGUGAUUUCAGUUUGCAUAAUUAACACACCUCCAGACCACGUUUAUUUAGUCAGACCAUUCCUGAUUAAAACUAAAAUCUUUGCAUUUACUGAGGCAAAAGCAUCUCUAAAAUCUAGGUGUAUUUUGGACUGUUAUGUUCAGAGAGAGCUUUUCAGCAGAGCAAAGCGUUUCAUUCUCUCUUCUUAAAUUUUCCGGCUGACAUAAUCUCUGUCACUCCAGAAUGAUGAAAAUAACUUCUGACUGAAAAACACAAUUUUUCAAAUGAAAAAUAAGAUUCUGAUUUUUCACCUGCCAGCUGCAAUAUUAAAUGCAGUUAAGAUCAAGAGUGAGAGGACAUUACUAAAGUUAUGUAUCUGCUUUUUAGUGAACACAAUUUAGUGAAGGGGCAAUGGAUUCAGUAUAUCUGUAAAUGGAAUCUUACUUAACUUCACUUUCUUGUUCUGCGUUUGUCAAAAUCUGUAGUGGAAUAGUGAAAAGGUGUACUGAUUCCUGGUAAUGUACUUUAUCCAGCUGGAGGAAGUGGCCACUCUGAGAGCUUAUUUUGUGAUCUUCCAUGAGCACCCAGUUAACGUGUAUUUUGUAAUAUAGUCACAGUAGUAGAAAAGCUAUUGUGACAAUUUUGGGAUUUUUAUUCAAAUUUAUUUUAUUAUGAGUUGAUCCCAUUACAAAUUCUUAUAGUUUUAAGUUCCAUAUAACUUAAUAAAAUGGAGUUCAGUCAGCAAUCUGUGCUCUAGCUUGAAUCCAAGGCACAAAUCAUGUUAUGUUUACAGUUUUGCUGUUGGCUAGAGGAAGACUGGAAAACUUAUGUUCCCAUCAACUAUAUUAUUUUAAUUAAUAUUUUAGACUUAAAAGAUCUGUAAAAGAGAAGACUAUAAGUAAUAGCAUUAUAAAGCACUGCUAAAGCAGCUGGAAAAUAAAAAAAAAAAUGAACUAAUAAAAAAUGAAUAGAGGAUUUGGGAAGUUGUGGUAACUAUUAAGAAUGUUCAUUUUGCAAAAAGAGUGAGAGCUAGGGCAUGUCGACUUUAGGAAGAGAGAGUGACUUAUGAACAGAGUAAGAAGGCGUUCAGAAAAAUGUAUCUCAUCAGGAUGAUCUCAAAGCAUUCAGAAGUCAUUAGAAAGUCACAGUGGGGUUGAAUGAAGCAGGCCUAAAUCUAGAUGUCAGUGCAUUAGUUAUUAGAUAAAAGGGAGAAAAUUUGUCCUUCUCCGCCAGUAAGCACAACAGAGGCACUUUGUGUAGGCCUGUGCCAGGCGAAGUGCUAUGAUCUGUGUAUCUACCGGGCUGCGUGUUGAUGAGAUACAUAACGUGCACCAUCUUUAUCAAGGGCUGAGGUAAACAGAU